GGAUUAGAUACCCUGGUAGUCCACACUGUAAACGAUGAAUACUAGGUGUGCGGGGACUGACCCCCUGCGUGCCGCAGUAAACACAAUAAGUAUUCCACCUGGGGAGUACGAUCGCAAGGUUGAAACUCAAAGGAAUUGACGGGGGCCCGCACAAGCGGUGGAUUAUGUGGUUUAAUUCGAAGCAACGCGAAGAACCUUACCAGGGUUUGACAUCCUGCUAACGAAGUAGAGAUACAUUAGGUGCCCUUCGGGGAAAGCAGAGACAGGUGGUGCAUGGUUGUCGUCAGCUCGUGCCG
rnacentral:rRNA from 1 species